rnacentral:rRNA from 1 species
GACGAACGCUGGCGGCGUGCUUAACACAUGCAAGUCGAACGGAAAGGCCCUGCUUUUGUGGGGUGCUCGAGUGGCGAACGGGUGAGUAACACGUGAGUAACCUGCCCUUGACUUUGGGAUAACUUCAGGAAACUGGGGCUAAUACCGGAUAGGAGCUCCUGCUGCAUGGUGGGGGUUGGAAAGUUUCGGCGGUUGGGGAUGGACUCGCGGCUUAUCAGCUUGUUGGUGGGGUAGUGGCUUACCAAGGCUUUGACGGGUAGCCGGCCUGAGAGGGUGACCGGCCACAUUGGGACUGAGAUACGGCCCAGACUCCUACGGGAGGCAGCAGUGGGGAAUAUUGCACAAUGGGCGGAAGCCUGAUGCAGCAAUGCCGCGUGCGGGAUGACGGCCUUCGGGUUGUAAACCGCUUUCGUCUGUGACGAAGCGUGAGUGACGGUAAUGGGUAAAGAAGCACCGGCUAACUACGUGCCAGCAGCCGCGGUGAUACGUAGGGUGCGAGCGUUGUCCGGAUUUAUUGGGCGUAAAGGGCUCGUAGGUGGUUGAUCGCGUCGGAAGUGUAAUCUUGGGGCUUAACCCUGAGCGUGCUUUCGAUACGGGUUGACUUGAGGAAGGUAGGGGAGAAUGGAAUUCCUGGUGGAGCGGUGGAAUGCGCAGAUAUCAGGAGGAACACCAGUGGCGAAGGCGGUUCUCUGGGCCUUUCCUGACGCUGAGGAGCGAAAGCGUGGGGAGCGAACAGGCUUAGAUACCUGGUAGUCCACGCUGUAAACGGUGGGUACUAGGUGUGGGGUCCAUUCCACGGGUUCCGUGCCGUAGCUAACGCUUUAAGUACCCCGCCUGGGGAGUACGGCCGCAAGGCUAAAACUCAAAGGAAUUGACGGGGCCCCGCACAAGCGGCGGAGCAUGCGGAUUAAUUCGAUGCAACGCGUAGAACCUUACCUGGGUUUGACAUGGAUCGGGAGUGCUCAGAGAUGGGUGUGCCUCUUUUGGGGUCGGUUCACAGGUGGUGCAUGGCUGUCGUCAGCUCGUGUCGUGAGAUGUUGGGUUAAGUCCCGCAACGAGCGCAACCCUUGUUCACUGUUGCCAGCACGUUAUGGUGGGGACUCAGUGGAGACCGCCGGGGUCAACUCGGAGGAAGGUGGGGAUGACGUCAAGUCAUCAUGCCCCUUAUGUCCAGGGCUUCACGCAUGCUACAAUGGCUGGUACAGAGAGUGGCGAGCCUGUGAGGGUGAGCGAAUCUCGGAAAGCCGGUCUCAGUUCGGAUUGGGGUCUGCAACUCGACCUCAUGAAGUCGGAGUCGCUAGUAAUCGCAGAUCAGCAACGCUGCGGUGAAUACGUUCCCGGG